rnacentral:rRNA from 1 species
GCAGCCGCCGCGGUAAUACGAAGGGUGCAAGCGUUACUCGGAAUUACAGGGCGUAAAGCGUGCGUAGGUGGUGGUUUAAGUCCGUUGUGAAAGCCCUGGCUCAACCUGGGAAUUGCAGUGGAUACUGGGUCACUAGAGUGUGGUAGAGGAUAGCGGAAUUUCCGGUGUAGCAGUGAAAUGCGUAGAGAUCGGAAGGAACAUCUGUGGCGAAGGCGACUAUCUGGGCCAACACUGACACUGAGGCACGAAAGCGUGGGGAGCAAACAGGAUUAGAUACCCGUGUAGUCCCUGUCUCUUAUACA